rnacentral:rRNA from 1 species
UGGGGAAUUUUGCACAAUGGGCGAAAGCCUGAUGCAGCGACGCCGCGUGGAGGAUGAAGGCCUUCGGGUUGUAAACUCCUUUUCUCAGGAACGAUGAUGACGGUACCUGAGGAAUAAGCCACGGCUAACUCUGUGCCAGCAGCCGCGGUAAGACAGAGGUGGCGAGCGUUGUUCGGAAUCACUGGGCUUAAAGGGCGCGUAGGUGGUAGUGUAAGUCUGAGGUGGAAUCCUGCGGCUUAACUGCAGAACUGCCUUGGAAACUGCAUUACUUGAGUCAGUGAGGGGAGGGUAGAAUUCCCGGUGUAGCGGUGAAAUGCGUAGAUAUCGGGAGGAAGGCCUGUGGCGAAGGCGGCCCUCUGGCGCUGGACUGACACUGAGGCGCGAAAGCGUGGGUAGCAAACAG